AGUUACCUAUGGGGAUUGGGGCAUGCCAGCAGGUGGCCUGUGUACUGUAGUUGCCAGGUGUCUGUAAGCUUCCUUUUCUUCUCACUGGGAAGCGGUCACCAAGGACUGAGAUGAUUCAGAAUGUGGAAGCUCACUGCCUCCCUUGGCUUCUUCGCCGCCCCUCCCCCUCUCUAGGCCUGCUUCCAGUCUGUAGUUCACCUGCUUCCAAAACCUCGACCUUCAUCACGAACACAGAUCCAAGCUGAGGUACUCAAGAGUCACACCUGAGACCCCAAGACAGGUGGAAGGACGUUGGACCCCAGGACCUAGGACUGUGCAAUCAAUGCUCCCACCCCACAGCAGACCCUCACUCCCAGUCCUUUGGCUCCCAGGACCCAUUUUCU
ensembl:lincRNA Gm20052 predicted gene, 20052